UACGGGGGGGGCAAGCGUUGUUCGGAAUUACUGGGCGUAAAGGGCUCGUAGGCGGUUUGUCGCGUCGGGAGUGAAAACCUACAGCUUAACUGUGGGCUUGCUUUCGAUACGGGCAGACUAGAGGUAUGCAGGGGAGAACGGAAUUCCUGGUGUAGCGGUGAAAUGCGCAGAUAUCAGGAGGAACACCGGUGGCGAAGGCGGUUCUCUGGGCAUGAUCUGACGCUGAGGAGCGAAAGUGUGGGGAGCGAACAGG
rnacentral:rRNA from 1 species